GGCGAGGGCGGCCCGGCGGGGCCGGUUUCGGCGGGCGGCAGGGGCGCGGUCGCAGCGGUGCACGGGCCGGGGGCAUGCGAGCGGCGUCGGAACAGGGCUACACCCCCCCUAGCCCCCGCGCGCGCCCCGCUCCAGACGGUGGAGGCGACCGUGUGCCGGAAAAUCCCGGCGGGGCGGCGCCGGUCCGGCGUGCAGGCGGUGCGAGCCGUGCGGAGUCGAGGGGGGCUUUGCCGGGCCGGCGGGCGGAAGAGGCGGCGCGGGCGCUGCGCUGGUCCCGGCCGGUGCCGGUCGCUCUGUCCGCUCCCCGCGAGGAGAACGAGCCAACGUCCCGUCACGUUUCAGCAAUACCAAAUCACCUCAUCUCUUCUUAAUCCAGGCAGGCUCUGCGACGACGGCGUCGGCCUCCGAGCGCAGCCGAAGCGUGCGCCCCGAGGAGCCCGGCAUUCUUAGGAGAAUGGUGCCACAGCCUUGGACUCAGGAUGAAGCUGGAGACUCGAGGACCCAGGCACACUCAGGAGAGGUUGACUGAGAGGCUGACAGGGAUCACAGGGCCCUCUGAGGCAGACUCAUUUCAGGUCCAACGUGGAUUCACCUCACCGGUCAUCCAAAAGAUAAGUUGGGGGCCACAGCCUGGAGAUGGGAUGAUAGGAGAGUAGUGGCUUGGAAAUUCCUAGACAGAUUUAAAAAUUUGCAGAGGGUGAAGAGAUGUCCUCUAAGGGGCCCCGUGGGACAGCUAAAGGGAGAGGCUCUGCUUUUGAUUGCAGCUGUAGGGUAUGCGGUGCAGAACAGUUCCGGUCUGUGUUGUGUUGUUCGGUGUCCUGUGUUACCUAGUGUGUCUUUGGGGUCCCUUGGAUCCAAUAUCUCUGCCUUUUCCCCUCGAGGCCCUUAGCAAAACCAUCAGCUGUCAUGUCUAGGUUCUCAAACGCUGGCGCUUCUCAGCAGGAUGCCAACAUCAUUUGUUCUUUUACCGGCGGGCUCAGCCGCAUCUCGAGUCACAUCUCAGAAGCAUCGAGUCAGACGUCUUUUGAGGCCUUGUUCCCGGCUGUAUCAGCAUCCAUCCUUUCCAGCCGUGAGCUGUAAAGUCCUGGGGCACGUAAGAUUGUAUGAUAUGGAGAACAUUCUAAACGUAGCAUUGUCUCACAGCCGCCUUGAUCAUCGUGACCAACAGGUCUUAUAACAGGUCACUCUG